GGACUCGUCCAUCCUUGGGUGGAAUCUGUGUGGCAUUAAGUUGUCGUGCAGGGGAUGCCCAUCGUUUACUGUGAAAAAAUUAGAGUGUUCAAAGCAGGCUUAUGCCGUUGAAUAUAUUAGCAUGGAAUAAUGAGAUAGGACCUUGGUACUAUUUUGUUGGUUUGCGCACCGAGGUAAUGAUUAAUAGGGACAGUUGGGGGUAUUCGUAUUCCAUUGUCAGAGGUGAAAUUCUUGGAUUUUUGGAAGACGAACUACUGCGAAAGCAUUUACCAAGGAUGUUUUCAUUAAUCAAGAACGAAAGUUAGGGGAUC
rnacentral:rRNA from 1 species